GCUUACGGCCACACCGCCUGGAACACGCCCAUCCGGAAGCUAAGAUAGGUUGGGCCUGGUUAGUACUUGAUGGGAGACCGCCUGGGAAUACCAGGUGCUGUAAGCU
rnacentral:rRNA from 1 species